rnacentral:rRNA from 1 species
CCCUUAGAUGUUCUGGGCCGCACGCGCGCUACACUGAUGCACUCAACGAGUCUCUUCACCGAAAGGUGCGGAAAACCUUUAAACUUGCAUCGUGAUGGGGCUAGAUUAUUGCAACUAUUAAUCUUCAACGAGGAAUACCUAGUAAGCGCAUGUCAUCAGCGUGCGUUGAUUACGUCCCUGCCCUUUGUACACACCGCCCGUCGCUCCUACCGAUUGAAUGAUCCGGUGAGCUUUUUGGACAGUGGCCUCUGCAUGGUUCGCCAUAACGAGGCUGCGGGAAGAUGCGCAAACCUUAUCACUUAGAGGAAGGAGAAGUCGUAACA